rnacentral:rRNA from 1 species
AGUGAACGCUGGCGGCGUGCCUAAUACAUGCAAGUCGAACGAAGUGGCGCACGGGUGAGUAAUAUAUAGUUAAUCUGCCCUCCUCAGAGGAACAACAGUUGGAAACGACUGCUAAUACCUCAUAGUGUAGGAUGAGACUAUAUCGUAUCAGCUAGUUGGUAAGGUAAUGGCUUACCAAGGCUAUGACGCGUAACUGGUCUGAGAGGAUGAUCAGUCACAGUGGCACUGAGACACUGACCAAACUCCGACGGGAGUCAGCAGUAAGGAAUAUUUCGAAAUGGGGGAGACACUGACGCAGCAACGCCGCGUGGAAGAUGACACGUGUGGGAGCGUAAACUCCUUUUAUAAGGAAAGCGGUACCUGCUGAAUAAGCACCGGCUAACUCCGUGCCAGCAGCCGCGGUAAUAC